rnacentral:rRNA from 1 species
GACGAACGCUGGCAGCAUGCCUAAUACAUGCAAGUCGAGCGGACAGAAGGGAGCUUGCUCCCGAAAGUCAGCGGCGGACGGGUGAGUAACACGUGGGCAACCUGCCCCUUAGAUUGGGAUAACUUCGGGAAACCGAAGCUAAUACCGAAUAAUACAAGGAACCUCCUGGUUCUCUGUUGAAAGAUGGCCUUUGUGCUGUCACGAAGGGAUGGGCCCGCGGCGCAUUAGCUAGUUGGUAAGGUAACGGCUUACCAAGGCGACGAGGCGUAGCCGACCUGAGAGGGUGAUCGGCCACACUGGGACUGAGACACGGCCCAGACUCCUACGGGAGGCAGCAGUAGGGAAUCUUCCGCAAUGGACGAAAGUCUGACGGAGCAAUGCCGCGUGAGUGAGGAAGGCCUUCGGGUCGUAAAGCUCUGUUGUGAGGGAAGAACAAGUACCGGCGUAACUACCGGUACCGUGACGGUACCUCACCAGAAAGCCACGGCUAACUACGUGCCAGCAGCCGCGGUAA